GGGUGAGUAAUACUUGGGAAUCUACCCAACAGUGAGGAAUAACCCGGGGAAACUCGGGCUAAUACCGCAUAAGUUCACGGAAGAAAGGGGGCCUCUCCCGCUGAUGGAUGAGCCCAAGUCGGAUUAGCUGGUUCGUGAGGUAAUAGCUCACGAAGGCAACGAUCCGUAGCUGGUCUGAGAGGAUGAUCAGCCACACUGGGACUGAGACACGGCCCAGACUCCUACGGGAGGCAGCAGUGGGGAGUAUUGGACAAUGGGCGAAAGCCUGAUCCAGCAAUGCCGCGUGUGUGAAGAAGGCCUGCGGGUUGUAAAGCACUUUCAGCAGGGAAGAAACCGUUACCUGCACAAGAAGCACCGGCUAACUCCGUGCCAGCAGCCGCGGUAAUACGGAGGGUGCGAGCGUUAAUCGGAAUUACUGGGCGUAAAGCGCGCGUAGGCGGUUGAGUAAGUCAGAUGUGAAAUCCCCGGGCUUAACCUGGGAA
rnacentral:rRNA from 1 species